rnacentral:rRNA from 1 species
UACGAAGGUCCCAAGCGUUGUUCGGAAUCACUGGGCGUAAAGGGAGCGUAGGCGGCGUGGUAAGUCAGAUGUGAAAUCCCGGGGCUCAACCCCGGAACUGCAUCCGAUACUGCCAUGCUUGAGGGUUGGAGAGGUAGCUGGAAUUCUCGGUGUAGCAGUGAAAUGCGUGGAUAUCUGGAGGAGCACCGGUGGCGAAGGCGGCAUCCUGGACCGGCAUUGACGCUGAGGCGCGAAAGCCAGGGGAGCAAACGGG